AUCCAGCUGACAUGUCGCAAAUGGGACGAAACGUGCGUCAAACUGGAU
rfam:Schistosoma margrebowiei strain Zambia genome assembly, scaffold: SMRZ_scaffold0000337